rnacentral:rRNA from 1 species
GCCCAAGGUAAGGAAUAACGUCGAGAAAUCGGCGCUAAUACCUCAUAAUGCAGCGAAUCCGCAUGGAUAUGUUGUUAAAGGUUUACCGCCUUGGGAUAGGCUUGCGUCUGAUUAGCUAGUUGGUGUGGUAAUGGCACACCAAGGCUACGAUCAGUAACUGGUCUGAGAGGAUGAUCAGUCACACUGGAACUGAGACACGGUCCAGACUCCUACGGGAGGCAGCAGUGAGGAAUAUUGGGCAAUGCACGAAAGUGUGACCCAGCAACGCCGCGUGGAGGAUGAAGGUAUUCUAUAUCGUAAACUCCUGUGAGAGCAGACGAAAGACAGAUUAUUAAUUUGGAUGACUGUAUGCUCAGAGGAAGCCCCGGCUAACUACGUG